UUUAGUACGCCAGACGCGCGUUUCGUCUACAUAAGACUCAUCAGUGACGCUCAUAUCAAAAUAUUUAUAAAGCCAAAUAAGUACAAAGUUGAAGAGCAUUGAGGAUCCAAAAUUCCAAAAAAUUGUGCCAAAUACGGCUAAGGUAAUCUAUGCCUGGGAUAAGAAAAUCCUUAUUUUUUUCGAAAAAUUCAAAGUUUUGUA
rnacentral:lncRNA from 1 species